CUACUUUACUCGUUUUGUACUAAAUUCCUAAAUGUGUGUAUUAUACUUAAAGGUAAACACAAAAAGUUAUGCCUUAUGAGAGACACUAGCAGCAGGUCACGUUUCUAUGGACAUAUGAUCUCAGAUUAUACACACUGUAGGUAUCCUGUCAAUCUUUCUGAAGAAUAAUACAUUACUUUAACCAGCAGAGGUCACCGUCAAACAAACAUCUGGCACCAGUAGUUCCUUGUCACGUGAUGUAAAAGGCCCUAUAGCGUCACAGCUACGAUCAACUAUCACGUGAUCGCUCAGACGUUCGUAAAACCAGCACGUAGCCUUCCUUAUUAAUAUUACACAAAGACAACCAUUACGUUAAACGCGUCGAAAGAGUGACCACCUAUUAGAUAUUAAACAAUUAAAAGGGGUAAGAAACGAGAAAGAAUUUCAAUCCACGUUGGAUGAAUGAAGGUAACAUUCCGCGUGACAAUGACGUCACGUGGAAGUCGUGAAGCUCGAGCUUCUGUGGCUCGCGAACACACAACAAACAAACAGCCCCGCCCACACCAUUAAACUGUGGUGCAUUCGCCGCACAUACAUCUUAGUCCGAAUUAUUACGACUUAAAAUACACAUGUAGUAAUGUUUCUGAAUGUAUUAAAACCCUGAAUGUUUUUUUUACCUGGACGUGUUUUAAUCACAUAAUUGUGCGCGGGAUUUAGAGGAAGAGGAGUGCACAGCUAACGCUGCUAGCCGCUUUAUUCAUAUAUUAUUUUCCACAUCUGAGAGGCGGGGAAUCCAAAGCCAAAGCUGUCAGAAAAUCCAGACUUUUGGAUGCAUUCAAUUAACACACGCGUUUCAUUUAACAGUCGCCUCAUCUCAGGACUUCUGUUUUCUGGAGACAACAGCAAGAAGCUAUCGAGGAAUUACAUGGAUUAUCUGGAGGUGACCUGAAAAGAUCUGACCUCAAAUCUCCCACUGAUAAAAUCAACAUGAAGAACAUCUCUCUGCUUAGUCAGGACUUGUUUAAUUAUUUAUUUUCUCUCUUUUAAUUUUCUUAUUUGAAUAAUUUAUAUUAUUAGUUUUUACUGUGGCUGGUAUAUGGUAUUGAUGUGAUCAAAAAGUGCUUUUUGACAUUUCUGAACUGUCACCAGUGGUGGUGAGCGUGAUUUCACCAAGUACAACAUGUUCCUGGAUCAACUUCCUUGUUGAUCCUGGAACAACAUUCCAAUCAACCAAUCAGAAUUGUGAUAUAACUUUAUUUAGGAAAUAUCUGUUUUAGGCUUACAAUCAGGGUUAGGUGCUUCUACACCCUUGUUAAUCAGCUAUCAUUUCCC
ensembl:lncRNA